UACGUAGGGUGAAAGCGUUGUCCGGAAUUAUUGGGCGUAAAGAGCUCGUAGGCGGUCUGUCGCGUCGGCUGUGAAAUCCCGGAGCUCAACUCCGGGUCUGCAGUCGAUACGGGCAAACUGGAGUACUGCAGGGGAGACUGGAAUUCCUGGUGUAGCGGUGAAAUGCGCAGAUAUCAGGAGGACCACCGGUGGCGAAUGCGGGUCUCUGGGCUGUACCUGACGCUGAGGAGCGAAAGCGUGGGGAGCGAACAGG
rnacentral:rRNA from 1 species